ACAAAACCCUAAUUUUGUUCAUCGCCGACAAGCAAAUCUACCAACAUCUCUUUCGAUUUCAUUAGCAUCUGAUUUUAGGUUUAAUGGCUGAAAAUGCCGAGAGAAACAGAUUCCGGCGAAAGCUAGGGGUUCCGGCGAAGUUAGUAGUGAUCUGGAGUCGUCGUCCCAAUUUCGCUUAAGGAAACGACUUCGUUCUUCUACAAGGAUUGGAUUAUAAGCUACGACAAAAGCAACCACCAUUCAGUACGCAGGCCUAGGUAUUGGUGACAAAGGAUGAUGAACUGAAUCCAUGUCAAGGAAAAAUUCGUCUGCCUCUAAAUGGUUACAAGAAAAAGACUACUGAUUGGCUGGAUCAACAUACCUCUGACACUAACCUACCAAGGAAAUAGAAGAUGAUUAUCGCAACCUCAUCUUUACUCUGAUUAGGUGUAAGCUCUGCAAUAAACGAUUGCAAGAAGGAUACUCAAUCAGUAAGUGGAGAACACACGAAACACCAACCCUAGAAUGUUGACUCGACAUAAAUGAUAUUUAUCAUGGUUCAGUCUGGUGUUUCUUAUUCCUUCUAUCAUAAUCGC
rnacentral:lncRNA from 1 species